rnacentral:snoRNA from 1 species
UGGACACCUUAUUCUAAUUCAGUGUCUUUUCAAGGUGAAGAUAACUCUUUAUAAAUGUCCAAUAGAAAUAUAGUAGCUUUCUGUUCAUCCUUUGCAAGUAAAAAGGGUGGAUCAUUCCACUACUGACACUU